AAUCCCCGGAUGAACACAUGGCUUUGUUUGUUAUGGAACAUUAAACAGAAUACUGAAUGGGUAGGCGUUACGCCAUUGGCUGAAAUCAGGUAUUUAAUUGUUUUCAUUUUAAAGUAAAAUUAAUGACCUUUGAAAUAAAUGAUGGGAUGAGGGAAUAUUACAGAAACUAUAGAAAUACCAGGGAAGAUUUUAGGAGUGGGGGUUGAUUUUUUAUGUCGCGUGUUAUUUACUGCGAAUCUCUAUAAGUUGAAAAUAACUGCAAUUUUGACCUAUAAACGCAAUGGGACCAUAUAUUUUUUUCAGUAUUUUUUGUUAGGGCUUAGAACAAAGUUUGAAAUGAUGCUAAAGAUUUUUCUGAAAUUGUCAUAGUAAAGUACUGAGAGGGCCUAAGGUUUGUAUGGAGUUCUAUGGGAAAAUAAUUAGUGGUCUUUUCCCUAUAGAGACCCCAAUUUUUACACUGUAAAGUGAUUUGAAAGUCAUGAAAUGUUAUUUUUAGCUAAUUAUUUGAAGAUUGAUGACAUUUCGAGAGAAAAUUUAGCAAAAAUUUGAAUUAGUUUACUGCGGUAAUGGGGUUAGUGGUGAUUUGGGUCUAUUGAAGAGAGAGGGGGGGGGGGGGGAGAAGAUAGAAAUUAGUAAAGCCCUGUACAGUUGACAUGGUCAAAGGAGGAAGGUAAGUUAAGAAAAUGUAUUAGAUUGUCCUUAAGAUGAAUGAUUGUAUGUAUGAAUAGAUUUAUGUAUGUAUUUUGCAUGUACAUGUGACUGUGUAUUUAUCAUGUUUUGCUCUAUCUGUGUAUAUUAUGGAAGUGUAGGACAGUGACCUGGUGUUCAUUUUUUCUUAUUUUCUUGGACUUUUGCACUUUUGGCAUUUUUUCAAAUAAUUAAGGUGGCACAUAAAAGGAAUUUUUGUGAUGGACAAGUGAAAGGAGGACAUUUUCUGUCUUGUCAUCUCAUGUUUGGUAGUGUAUGUGUUCCUCUGGAUUGCCCCCCCCCCCUUUCUUGGCUGCAGGGUGAUCAAUUUGUAGUUUUGUUGUUUCUAUGUUGUAGCUACACAAAGGUCUAUGUUUUCUCUUUUUUCGCUCUUUGUAGUUUCAUCAGAAUUACUCGCUGCGACUCACUUUCUAAUGGUUUCUAGUUUUUGUACUUAGAGUUACUUCCCUUAGACCUGCUGACCAGACAGGUAGAAUUUCAACAUGAUGAUAUCUUAACUGUUGUGACCUUUGGCUUCUGAUUUUUUUUCAUAAAUUAUUGUAAUGACCUUGAACUGCAUGUAUGACAUUUGACCUUUAUUAUAUUUACAUGUAAUAAUAUGUAAUAUUGAAAAACAUGUAUUCCACCCUUGGCGGAUCCAUUUUUCAUACAUUUAGCUAUGUAGAAGACAUGUAAUUAAGGAAAUUUUUAGAAAACUUGAAAAAUAUUGUUGUUUCUUUCAUGAUUUAUGCUUAAUUUGACUAAUUUUAUUGAUUUAUUUUCAUUUAAGCACUUUAGAGGAAUUUCAUCUUUCAGCUUUCUUGGCCCCGGGAGUGCUCGGUCUCUGAUCAGCAGGGGCAUUUUCUCUAUAUAAGAAGAAAAUGGAGACUCCCUACCCACCCGAUGUAUUUUGUCGGACAGUUUUCUGUACAUUGCAGUCACCAAUAUAUCCAAAUAUCAUCACCGGCCCAGACGUCAUUCACUCCUUUGAACUGUGCUGGUAGCAGUAAGGUGUCAUCAUUUGAGAUGGUCACAGUAUCCAAUACACUGAAGUCACAGGACUCAAAUUUCAUACAUGUUCACAGCACUUUAGAGGAAUUUCAUCUUUCAGCUUUCUUGGCCCCGGGAGUGCUCGGUCUCUGAUCAGCAGGGGCAUUUUCUCUAUAUAAGAAGAAAAUGGAGACUCCCUACCCACCCGAUGUAUUUUGUCGGACAGUUUUCUGUACAUUGCAGUCACCAAUAUAUCCAAAUAUCAUCACCGGCCCAGACGUCAUUCACUCCUUUGAACUGUGCUGGUAGCAGUAAGGUGUCAUCAUUUGAGAUGGUCACAGUAUCCAAUACACUGAAGUCACAGGACUCAAAUUUCAUACAUGUUCACAGCACUUUAGAGGAAUUUCAUCUUUCAGCUUUCUUGGCCCCGGGAGUGCUCGGUCUCUGAUCAGCAGGGGCAUUUUCUCUAUAUAAGAAGAAAAUGGAGACUCCCUACCCACCCGAUGUAUUUUGUCGGACAGUUUUCUGUACAUUGCAGUCACCAAUAUAUCCAAAUAUCAUCACCGGCCCAGACGUCAUUCACUCCUUUGAACUGUGCUGGUAGCAGUAAGGUGUCAUCAUUUGAGAUGGUCACAGUAUCCAAUACACUGAAGUCACAGGACUCAAAUUUCAUACAUGUUCACAGCACUUUAGAGGAAUUUCAUCUUUCAGCUUUCUUGGCCCCGGGAGUGCUCGGUCUCUGAUCAGCAGGGGCAUUUUCUCUAUAUAAGAAGAAAAUGAAGACUCCCUACCCACCCGAUGUAUUUUGUCGGACAGUUUUCUGUACAUUGCAGUCACCAAUAUAUCCAAAUAUCAUCACCGGCCCAGACGUCAUUCACUCCUUUGAACUGUGCUGGUAGCAGUAAGGUGUCAUCAUUUGAGAUGGUCACAGUAUCCAAUACACUGAAGUCACAGGACUCAAAUUUCAUACAUGUUCACAGCACUUUAGAGGAAUUUCAUCUUUCAGCUUUCUUGGCCCCGGGAGUGCUCGGUCUCUGAUCAGCAGGGGCAUUUUCUCUAUAUAAGAAGAAAAUGGAGACUCCCUACCCACCCGAUGUAUUUUGUCGGACAGUUUUCUGUACAUUGCAGUCACCAAGAUAUCCAAAUAUCAUCACCGGCCCAGACGUCAUUCACUCCUUUGAACUGUGCUGGUAGCAGUAAGGUGUCAUCAUUUGAGAUGGUCACAGUAUCCAAUACACUGAAGUCACAGGACUCAAAUUUCAUACAUGUUCACAGCACUUUAGAGGAAUUUCAUCUUUCAGCUUUCUUGGCCCCGGGAGUGCUCGGUCUCUGAUCAGCAGGGGCAUUUUCUCUAUAUAAGAAGAAAAUGGAGACUCCCUACCCACCCGAUGUAUUUUGUCGGACAGUUUUCUGUACAUUGCAGGUAAAUUUUUUAUUUAUUAACUUUCCAGCCUCUUAUUGUAUAGUACAUUUUGGGGGUUGAAGU